GCCCAAGUUUCGCGGCAAACGCAGAACAGGCGAAUCUCCUCACAAAUCAGCCUCAACGCCGGUCAGGCUGAAGUACAAAAGACCACAGGCCAAAACCGCAGCAGCGAAGGCGUCAUCAGUGUGGACUCUGAGCCGUCCGCCUACAUCAGAUCCAGACGUUCGCCCUGCACCAUCAGUAACACCAGGCCUACAAGUUAUUUCUGUGAGAAAAACGCAUUCAGAGACUAUCAAGAAGAUCAUUUCUGACUCCACAAAUGCACACAAGCUAAUCAAACGUGGCUCAUUUAAUGCUCAUCUGGCACUUUCAGCCAGAAUUGGGAAACUUGUCACUUUAGCGUAAGUUGGCGCCCAACGCGGGGUCAACACCUGCAAGCCGCGGUCCCAUCUGCAACCAAUUAUCCCAAUCCCUACUGCGAGAGACGCUGCUUUUUUUAUGCUCCGCGGCAGCUCGUUCUGUCAUGUCCCAUCGCCUCUCCAAUGUGACGGGUCUGAAAUAAACCGUCCUGUCGUUCUGACCCCGGAUUGCUCCACUUGUGUCACUUUGAGUGUCCGUCACACGGUCACAAGUCUUGACUUUGGCCUGUUUUUUUUGUUUUUUUUUUGCGCACCAAUCUGGCUGUUCAGCCCACAGUCCGGAGCGCUUGUAAAUUCUGCAUUGGGCGUCCCUGGAGGAUGAGCGAUGUGUCCACGCUGGACUACGAGCUGCUGUCCGCGGGGCCGUCGUUCGCCGGGGCCCCCAGCAGCCCUCCUCUUGGUGGGGACGCGGAGCAAAGGACGGCGUUCGCAUUCGUGGGUCUCCUGAUGCUGUUUUUGAUUUUCUUGUUGGUGCGCUGCUUCAGGAUCCUGCUGGACCCUUAUAGCCGCAUGCCUGCGUCCUCUUGGACCGAUCACAAGGAGGGCUUCGAGCGGGGCCAGUUUGAUUAUGCUUUGGUUUAGAGGACAUUCAGGACACCGCAGCCUUAACCUGAGCUGUUUCCCAAUCCUGUAGCUUAGGAUUAAUACACUUCCAGGAUGAACUAG